GGUAUAAACACACCAUCGUGGUUUCCUAAAAGAUGACGACAAAAAGUUCCGUUAUCACAUGCAUUUCUAUGUUCAUUUUCAGUUUUCGUCUCUGAUUUUACGAUUCUGAGCGGCGGGGUUCAGUUACGCCGGUGCUUUGGCCACGAUCACCGUGCGAGAAUUUCGCGCUGUUCUCCCCGGAUUCGCGCGUAUCGUAAAGUCGAUUUUUCCUUUUUAUUACUUGGGUGGUUGCCAAAGGUUGUUGCACUGAAUUUUAGAAAUAUUGAGCGGAAAUGGAUCAGCAUGACGAUGAAGCACCGAAGGACCCAAGGGCCGAAAAGGAGAAACACCAAUCGUUCGAUGAAAAAGACUUCGAAGGGCAUAGAGCUCAUACGGUUUUCGUUGGGGUGCACGUACCUACCCAGCGGAGGCACUCGCAUAAACAUAAGAAGCAUCACCAUAGGACUUCUGAUGGUGAUAAAUCAGCUUCUGAGGAAGAAAGACCAAGGGUAUUAGUAUCCAGAAGAAGAGGACUUAGUAUCUCCGAGGACGGGGAGAUAUGUACUCCGCCCUCCCAGAGGGUCCAGUUUAUUUUGGGGGAGGAUUUGGGCGACGAGAAGCACGAAAGUCACCCCUUGUUCUCUGAAAUGGAGGAACUCUUUGUGGAUGGGGAUGAAAUGGAAUGGAAAGAGACCGCUAGAUGGAUCAAGUUUGAGGAAGAUGUAGAAGAAGGUGGAAAUCGUUGGUCUAAACCGCACGUAGCCACCCUCUCCCUACACUCCCUAUUCGAACUUCGCAGCUUAAUCCUGAACGGAACGGUCAUUUUGGAUAUGGAUGCCUCAUCCAUAGAACAAAUUGCCGAUUUAGUCAUCGAUAAUAUGGUUAAUAAUAACAAAUUAGAUUUUACCAAGAGGGAAAAAGUGAAAGAGGCUCUCCUGAAACGUCACAGACAUCAGCACCAGAGGCAUAAGCACGGAUUGCCGUUCAUCAGGUCUUUACAGGAAAUCGGAAGGAAUCACUCCACGUCAAAGAGCUGUUUCACUUGCGUUAGUGUACCAACAAAGAAAAAGAGACCGAGAAAUAACAUUGAAAAAAAUGGGUCUAAUAGUUUAGUUUCAGUUGAAGAACAGAGCCUUUCCGAACAGUCAGGCAAACCGGACUUUGGAAAAUUCCUAAAUGUCCCCGGACAGGGUCAUGAGAAGCCCGUAAGGAUCCUAAAAAGUGCCAGUAACGUAUCGAUCAGUAGGAACACGAGCAGUUCGGACCUAUCCAAUGACCUCCCGCAGCACAAUUUGGCAUUUAUGAAGAAAAUUCCUCCAGGAGCUGAAGCGAGCAAUAUCCUGGUAGGAGAGGUGGAUUUUCUGGAAAAGCCUUUGUCGGCCUUUAUAAGGCUCAAUACGGCACAAGUACUCGGAGACCUCACUGAAGUACCAGUACCCACUAGAUUUAUGUUUAUAUUAUUGGGGCCCACCAAUUCCACCUCAGGAUAUCACGAAAUCGGUAGGGCGAUGGCCACCCUAAUGUCAGAUGAGGUAUUCCAUGAAGUGGCAUACAAGGCGAGAAAUCGAGGUCAUUUGUUAGCGGGCGUGGACGAGUUCCUGGAUGCGGUAACGGUACUGCCUCCAGGCGAGUGGGAUCCCGCCAUAAGGAUAGAACCACCCGCGGCGGUACCCUCGCAGGACAAUAGAAAAAAACCACCCGAAAAGGUGCCCGAAGAUUUCGACGAGGAAGAGGAGGAGCAGAAGUUAAGGGAGGAAUCUGGACUGGCCAGGACUGGCGUACUUUUUGGGGGACUUAAGAACGACCUUAAAAGGAAAAUCCCUUGGUACUGGUCGGAUUUUAAGGAUGCGAUCGCCUUACAGUGCGUUGCCAGCUGGAUAUUUUUAUAUUUUGCUUGUUUAUCGCCGAUUAUUACUUUUGGCGGACUCUUGGCGGAAGCAACAGGCAAACAUAUGGCGGCAAUGGAAUCCCUUGUAGCCGGCUUCGUAUGCGGAAUGGGUUAUGGAUUCUUUUCAGGACAACCUUUAACCAUUCUAGGCUCGACAGGUCCAGUCUUAGUAUUCGAAACAAUAGUCUACGACUUUUGCACCAGAAUGGACUGGGACUACAUGAGUUUCCGGUUCUGGAUAGGAACCUGGAUAACGGUGAUCUUAUUGAUCCUGGUGGCGAUCGAUGCGAGUGCCCUCGUCUGUUACAUCACCCGAUUCACCGAGGAGAACUUCGCCACUUUGAUCGCUUUUAUUUUCAUUUAUAAAGCGGUGGAGAACGUGUUACUGAUCGGGAAGAAUUUCCCGAUAAACACCUCUGGAUCGUUGAAUUUUUCUUUUGAAUGUUCUUGUCUGGUUAACGAUUCGGUGCAGGUGGAACAUCCGGAAAUUGCCAACUGGACCUCGUUUAAUAAAACUAUUUGCAAUAAAUUAAAUGGGACUUUGGUGGGUUAUGGAUGUACUAAUCCCCCAUACGCCCCGGACGUGUUUUUGAUGUCAAUUCUGCUAUUUAUCGGUACGUUUUUGUUGUCGGUGGAGCUUAAGGAUUUUAAGAAUGCCCUAUUUUUUCCCUCGAAGGUUCGUCAAUUUAUAAGCGACUUCGCAGUGAUCAUAGCAAUAGUUUCCAUGACUUUAUUGGACUUUUGGUCCAACAUACCCACUCCUAAACUGCAAGUACCACACGAAUUUAAACCAACUUUACCGAGCAGAGGGUGGAUUAUACCCCCGUUUGGACGCAACCCUUUUUAUUCGAUCAUUCUAGCGUUAGCUCCGGCUUUAUUAGGCACCAUCCUGAUAUUCAUGGAUCAGCAAAUCACUUGUGUUAUCGUCAACCGCAAAGAGUUUAAGUUGAAAAAGGGUUGCGGGUACCAUUUGGACCUGUUUGUCUUAGCAAUACUUAUACAAAUCUGCUCGGUUAUGGGUUUGCCAUGGUUCGUAGCCGCCACCGUCCUCUCAAUUAACCACGUGAACUCCCUGAAACUGGAGUCGGAAUGUGCCGCCCCCGGGGAGAAACCGCAAUUUUUAGGGGUGCGAGAACAACGGGUAACACAUAUUCUAAUCUUCUUGACAAUCGGACUCUCCGUAUUCCUUACGCCAAUGCUGGGCCAUAUUCCUAUGCCAGUACUGUUCGGAGUAUUCCUAUACAUGGGCGUGUCAUCACUUAAAGGUCUCCAGUUCUUCGAGAGGAUCCUGAUCAUGUUCAUGCCGAACAAAUAUCAACCCGACUACAUGUUCCUGAGACAAGUUCCAAUCAAAAGGGUCCAUUUGUUCACCUUGAUCCAGCUCGCCUGCCUGAUCUGCCUCUGGUCGAUCAAAUCUUUCAGUUCCACCUCGAUCCUGUUCCCACUUAUGCUGGUGGUGAUGAUCGGCAUCCGGAAGUCCCUCGACUGGAUAUUUACGCGUCGUGAGCUUAAGAUCCUGGACGAUCUGAUGCCGGAGGUCACGAGGAGACAUCAGCUGUUGAAAGAUCAAAAGGAUGUAGAAGAUCCAUGCCCUGAACAAAACCUUCUAAAUGAUAACCUAAAAAUACCAUUGGCCAAUGGAAAAAUAAUGAACAUUCCAAUUUCCGCGAUAAACAUAUCAGAAGAAGUGAACAAGACCGGAAUAUGGAAACAAGUGAACGAUGGGAAUGUUAAAAGCAAACCAAAAACUAUGCCAAAGAAACUGAGUCCUAGGAAAGUAAGCCGCCUUAGGAAGACGAAACCGACCAAAAAGGACGCGGAACUGAAUAAAAAAUUGGAAAAAAAAUUAUCGAUAAUGAACGAAGAAGAGGACGAAGACGAGGGGAUAACCAUGAAGGUGAACGACCUAGCACUACAUUUUUAAAGGCACCAGAACACCCAUAUAGAAUACACACAAUACGCACACCUUCACUGAAAAAAAAAACAAUUUUUUAUUCUGCUUACCACCUAAAUUAUGUGAAAACAAGUCUCUUAUAAGGUACCGCAAGGACCUUUCGAACCUUAAAAACGGCCAUACCACAGAGUCCCACGUUUAAAAUUAUCUAGUAGUUAUAAGAGAAUAUUAAAUAUUGUAAUUUGAUGUUGUUUUUAGACAUUUCUUUCUGGUUGGUGUUAAAUUAGUCUGCCAGAAAGUUUAGAUGAUUAUAAAAAAAAACAUUUUUUUCCCAAAAAUGACAAUAUUAAUAAAAAGCUUUUUUUCUGCUGCAUCUUAUACUGCUCACGUAAAAAGUCUACCCCCCACUGCAGUUUAUUUUUUAAAUUUCUUCUAUUAUUUAACUAUUUGCUUAUUCAGAACAUCUCAGAAAUAUCCUUUAGUGUGCUACAAAAUAGAGAGUGGGGGGGGAGGGCAGACUUUUUACAGAGUAUCUCAAUUUCCCAAAAAACCAUCAUCAAGUAAUUUUAAAUUUCCUAUUUUUGCCAUAAGCUUAUCUUUGUCUGACUCAUUAUUGAUUAUAUUAAAGAAAACGAGAACAAGGGCAACUGCAAAAAUAAUUUUCUUACAGCACAAUGAGCCUGACAGGGGUUGACUUAUGUGUCAGACAAAGAAGGGCUUAAAAAAACCCAGAGCCAAGAAGGUUGAUGAUGGUUUCGAAAGACGAAACGUAAGUCAUCAAAUAAUUAAUACAUAUUUAGGCCCAUUCAUAAAACAUAAUUAAUACACCAAAAUUCCUGUGUUUUAUAAUGUGAAAAUUGUAUAUUAUUUUUGUAAGCAGAGCACAUCAAUUAAAGCUAAAUAAAUAACAAAAAUGUGAUUAAU